GUUAAAAAGCUCGUAGUUGGAUUUCGGUUAAGAGCGACCGGUCCGCCGUUUGGUGUGCACUGGUUGGUUUUAACUUCCUGUAGAGGACGUGCUCUGGGCUUAACGGUCUGGACUCGGAGUCUACGUGGUUACUUUGAAAAAAUUAGAGUGUUCAAAGCGGGCUUACGCUUGAAUAUUUCAGCAUGGGAUAACACUAUAGGACUCCUGUCCUAUUUCGUUGGUCUCGGGACGGGAGUAAUGAUUAAGAGGAACAGUUGGGGGCAUUCGUAUUUCAUUGUCAGAGGUGAAAUUCUUGGAUUUAUGAAAGA
rnacentral:rRNA from 1 species